rnacentral:lncRNA from 1 species
GGGCUGCGAGGGGUACGCAGCUCGCUUUCCCCUGGCCGCGAGGGCCAGCGGGGCGCUGGAAGGGGGCCGGAGUGCAACCCCGGGGGGGUUCGGGCAAGGUCGGCUGCCUUGGCUUCUGCAUUGUGCUGCGGUGAAAAAAUAAAAAACCUGCCGCAGCAGCAGUUACGCCAGGAAGAGACAUCUUCGGAGACCACAGCAGUGGCUCCUCUGCACUCCCAGCUGACCCCUGGAUACUGUCACCGCGCGGCGGAGAGGGGGUGUUGCCGCAAGUCAGGAAGCUCCUGGUCUCUCCAUCACUUGCGCAAUUCGGGCUAAAAUCUUCUCGCAUCGGUUAUUAUUUGGAAUCUGGGCCUAAAAGUUUUUUCGGUUGUCUUCUUCAUUCAGAGUUAUGGACCUGAAGAUUGGAAGUGACCUGGCAAGGGAGAAGAAGGACAAGCAAGAGUGAAAGAGUAGCAAACCCUGAAGUGGUUCCAAGGGUUUACCUCGUGACCACAGAGACCCAUCUCUGCCAGAGAGGAACAAGCAUGCAGAGAAGAAUUCAAUAGCCUGGGUUGUUCCUGGGAUUGGUGAGCUUUAAAAUCUCCUGUGAUGUCAAGAAGAGGAAAGCCUUCACAUCCCAGGUUUGGCCAUCACAUCCCCGAAUUCAGCUGCAUUGGCUGAAUGUUAAAUGGUUUAUGCCCAGCUAGUGGGAAGGUGAAUAAUACGUAAAGGAGCUGGGAUCUACACAUACGUUGGAUGACACAGACAUUGUACUUCAGAGUCUCGAAGCAUUUUGGAGCAUCUGGGCUCACUCCUGGCAUCUCGGAUCUAUUGCCCUGCAGUCCCCUCCGGGCACUGGAGCAGCGUCACGGUACAGACAAGUAGAGCCAGCACAGAGUGCAGCCACUGAGCCGACUGCAUUGCCUACCUAACCUUGAGGUUUAGAGCGAGUCUGGGAAUUUGAGCAAGGGAGAGAGAGAAAGCUUAUGUUCGUUCAUCCCCAAAUUGAAGGCUCAACAGCCGGCUUGAGAAAAAUGAGUUGCCGAAAGCCGAAAUUCUUCAGAGAGAAUUUUCCCAAAGUGACGUUUGACAUUGCCCUGUUUGUUUAUUUUCUUCCUGGCCAAAGGGCCAACUCCAUAUUGUGUCCUAAUUAAACAGGAUAACAAAAUAGAUUUUUGAAAAAGGUGCAUUGCGUGUGCGUAACAUUCUCCUAGCUAAUCUGGAUGCCCAGGGAGUAGCCUUUCUAAACAUUGAGCACUUUACACACAAGAACUACUACUGAGCAACAUUUUGGGAAGUGGUCAGUAGUGCUGAAUCCCCGGGGCAAUCAUCGAAAUAAGCUUUCCAUAUUCUGUCCUCCCAGUGACAUUUUGGUUCAUUAGAUUCUAUCACAAUAAUUUAGAACCUUUGACUGUUCUCCCACUACGAGGCCACAAAGGUUUUUUUCUUUCUUUUUUUUUCAGACUCUAAAUCUUCACACCCGCCAUACCCAUCUACAUAUCUGCUUUUGAAUAGUCGGCCAGAUAGUAGCUCCUUUGCGGGUGUCCUAGUAGGGUGCCUCUCCACUUGCAGAAUUCUAGAUGUCAACUGCCCCGGGCUGUGACCUUGGGCCAUUCCUAUUCUUUUUCUACACUCCCUCCCAGGGCAGUCUCCUCCAGCCCUAGGCUUUAAAUAGCCUCCAUUCACUGAUGUAUAUCUUUAACCCUGACCUCUCACCAGUACUCCAGGCUCGUAUAUCCAGCUGCCUCCAUGACAUCUCUGUUUGCAUAUCUCAAACUUAACAUGUCCAGAGCAGAACUCUUGACUUUCCGUAUUAAAACCGAAACUCCAAAUUGCUUCCUUCAAGUCUUCUUCCUCUUAGAAUCAAAACGACUCCUUCUCUCAAACACCACAUUCAUUUUUGCAGGAAAUCCUUCCACUUCUACUUUCAAAACAUAUCCCGAAUCCAAUCUCUUCCUUUAAUUGCUAGCACCCUGAAGUUUCUCCCUGGGUGACUAACCCGUUCCCUGCUUCCAUUAUCCCCCCUCCAGCCUCAAUUCAGCAACCAGAGAGUUUCUUGCAAAACAUGAGUAAGAUGUCGUUAUCCUUGCUCAAAACUCUUCAAUGCUCUGUGCUUCUAAUCACACCACCAUAAAAAUCCAAAGUCUUGGAGUUCCCGUCAUGGCAUGGUGGAAACGAAUCCAGCUAGGAACCAUGAGGCUGUGGGUUCGAUCCCUGGCCUCGCUCAGUGGGUUAAGGAUCUGGCAUUGCUGUCAGCUGUGGUGUAGGUUGCAGACGUGGCUUGGAUCUGGCGUUGCUGUAGCUGUGGUGUAGGCUGGCAGCUUUAUCUCCAAUUCAAUCCCUAACUUGGAAACUUCCCUAUGCCACAGGUGUGGCCCU